rnacentral:rRNA from 1 species
UGCAGUUGAGCGCUGAAGUUGGUACUUGUACCGACGGAUGAGCAGCGAACGGGUGAGUAACGCGUGGGGAAUMUGCCUUUGAGCGGGGGACAACAUUUGGAAACGAAUGCUAAUACCGCAUAAAAACUUUAAACACAAGUUUUAAGUUUGAAAGAUGCAAUUGCAUCACUCAAAGAUGAUCCCGCGUUGUAUUAGCUAGUUGGUGAGGUAAAGGCUCACCAAGGCGAUGAUACAUAGCCGACCUGAGAGGGUGAUCGGCCACAUUGGGACUGAGACACGGCCCAAACUCCUACGGGAGGCAGCAGUAGGGAAUCUUCGGCAAUGGACGAAAGUCUGACCGAGCAACGCCGCGUGAGUGAAGAAGGUUUUCGGAUCGUAAAACUCUGUUGGUAGAGAAGAACGUUGGUGAGAGUGGAAAGCUCAUCAAGUGACGGUAACUACCCAGAAAGGGACGGCUAACUACGUGCCAGCAGCCGCGGUAAUACGUAGGUCCCGAGCGUUGUCCGGAUUUAUUGGGCGUAAAGCGAGCGCAGGUGGUUUAUUAAGUCUGGUGUAAAAGGCAGUGGCUCAACCAUUGUAUGCAUUGGAAACUGGUAGACUUGAGUGCAGGAGAGGAGAGUGGAAUUCCAUGUGUAGCGGUGAAAUGCGUAGAUAUAUGGAGGAACACCGGUGGCGAAAGCGGCUCUCUGGCCUGUAACUGACACUGAGGCUCGAAAGCGUGGGGAGCAAACAGGAUUAGAUACUCUGGUAGUCCACGCCGUAAACGAUGAGUGCUAGAUGUAGGGAGCUAUAAGUUCUCUGUAUCGCAGCUAACGCAAUAAGCACUCCGCCUGGGGAGUACGACCGCAAUGUUGAAACUCAAAGGAAUUGACGGGGGCCCGCACAAGCGGUGGAGCAUGUGGUUUAAUUCGAAGCAACGCGAGAACCUUACCAGUCUU